rnacentral:rRNA from 1 species
UACGUAGGUGGCAAGCGUUGUCCGGAAUUAUUGGGCGUAAAGCGCGCGCAGGCGGUCCUUUAAGUCUGAUGUGAAAGCCCACGGCUCAACCGUGGAGGGUCAUUGGAAACUGGGGGACUUGAGUGCAGGAGAGAAGAGUGGAAUUCCAUGUGUAGCGGUGAAAUGCGUAGAGAUCAUGAGGAAGACCAGUGGCGAAGGCGGGUCUCUAGACAGUUCCUGACGCUGAGGCACGAAGGCCAGGGGAGCAAACGGG